rnacentral:lncRNA from 10 species
CCCCGCCUCUAUUAAAAAUACAAAAAAUUAGCCAGGUGCAGUGGCGUAGGCCUGUAAUCCCAGCUACUCAGGGGGCUGAGGCAGGAGAAUUGUUUGAACCCAAGAAUUGGACGUUGCGAUGAGCUGAGUUCGCGCCACUGUACUCCAGCCUGGGCAACAAGAGCAAGACCUCAAAAAAAAAAAUUUUUUUUUUAAAUAUUAGCCAGGCCUGGUGGCACAUGCCUGUAGUUCCAGCUACUCAGGAGGUUGAGGUGGGAGGAUCGCUUGAGCCCAGGAGGUGGAGGAUGCAGUGAGCUGAGAUCGCGCCCCUUAACUCCAACCUAGGCAAAGUGGGGAGACCCUCUCUCAAAACAAACAAACUUUAAAUUUCUGAGUGAUAAACAGCAUCGGCCGCCUCCGGGACCUGCUCGGGUGGUACACUGCAAGCUGCGGAGACUUAAGAAAAGGGCGUCUCGGCCGGAGCCCGGGUAUGGGGUAGCACCCCCUCCCCCGCCGCGGCCAGGCAGCACGGUCCGCCCUUGCGGCUGGGAUCCCCGCGUCUCUCCGCCUUCGCUGGAGCCCCACUGUUGUGUUGAAGGAGACCGUCCUUCCGACGCCGAGUCCGGCUCCACAACCACGUAAACGAAUUGUGGAUUCAGACACCAUGAGCGGCGGAAACAAAGGCGUCCCCACAGCUUCAGCCAGGUCACUCACUGUCUAAAGCCAAAUCAAAUAUCUUUUUUUUUUUUUUUUUUUUUGAGACGGAGUCUCGCUCUUGUUGCCCAGGCUCAGCUUCCCGAGUAGGUGGGAUUACAGCCCCACCAAGCCCGGCGAAUUUUUUUUUUUUUUUUUUUUUUUUUGAGACGGAGUCCUGCUCUGUCGCCAGGCUGGAGUGCAGUGGCGCGAUCUCGGCUCACUGCAACAUCCAGCUCCUGUAUUCAAGCGAUUCUCCAGCCUCAUUCUCCCCACUAGCUGGGAAUACAGGCGCCCACCACCACGCCCAGCUAAUUUUUUGUAUUUUUAGUAGAGACGGGGUUUCACCAUGUUGAUCAAGAUGAUCUCAAUCUCUUGACCUCGUGAUCCACCUGCCUCAGCCUCCCAAAGUGCUGGGAUUACAGGCGUGAGCCACCAUGCCCAGUUAAUUUUUGUAUUUUCAGUAGAGAUGGGGUUUCACCAUGUUGGUCAUGCUGGUGUUGAACUCCAGAGAUCAGGUAAUCCGCCGCCUCAGCCUCCCGAAGUGUUGGGAUUACAGGUGUGAGCCACCACGCCCGGCCUGUUUGUUUGUUUGUUUGUUUGUUUGAGACAGUCUCACUUUAUCGCCCAGGCUGGAGUGCAGUGGCACAAUCUCGGCUCACUGCAAGCUCCGCCUCCCGGGUUCACGCCAUUCUCCUGCCUCAGCCUCCCGAGUAGCUGGGACUACAGGCACCCGCCCCACACCCGGCUAAUUUUUUUUUUUUUUUUUUUUUU